rnacentral:rRNA from 1 species
UGCCAGCCGCCGCGGUAAGACGAAGGAUCCAAGCGUUGUCCGGAUUUACUGGGUUUAAAGGGUGCGUAGGCGGAAAAUUAAGUCAGUGGUGAAAGCCCGCAGCUCAACUGUGGAACUGCCAUUGAAACUGGUUUUCUUGAAUAUAGCUGAGGCAGAUGGAAUAUAACAUGUAGCGGUGAAAUGCUUAGAUAUGUUAUAGAACACCGAUUGCGAAGGCAGUCUGCUAAACUAUUAUUGACGCUGAGGCACGAAAGCGUGGGGAGCGAACAGGAUUAGAUACCCUGGUAGUCCACGCCCUAAACGUUGAUUACUCGCUGUUGGCGAUAUACUGUCAGUGGCUAAGCGAAAGCGUUAAGUAAUCCACCUGGGAAGUACGACCGCAAGGUUGAAACUCAAAUGAAUUGGCGG